rnacentral:rRNA from 1 species
UACGUAGGGUGCGAGCGUUAAUCGGAAUUACUGGGCGUAAAGCGUGCGCAGGCGGUUUUGUAGGCCAGAUGUGAAAUCCCCGGGCUUAACCUGGGAAUGGCACUUGAAACUACGGGACUGGAGUAUGGCAGAGGGAGGUGGAAUUCCACGUGUAGCGGUGAAAUGCGUAGAGAUGUGGAGGAACACCGAUGGCGAAGGCAGCCUCCUGGGCCAAUACUGACGCUCAUGCACGAAAGCGUGGGGAGCAAACAGG